AUACAUCUAACUGUUUUUUGAACAGUCUGAACUUGGUAUGUUGGGAGCUAACAUCAAAGAACUAUUUUCCCCCAUUCACAUGAGGACUGUGUCAAAUCUGCCUCCUAUCACUUAAGGAGGUUUUGGGAAAAUCAUUCACUUUCGUUUCUAUCACUUCCAGUAACUUAACAGUACGGCUCAGAUGUAAAACUCCCCUUUUACUUGUUCCUGUCACUUCAGCCCAAGCUUGUCUCAUGAUCUAAAAAUCUGUAAUAGGGAAGAGGGUGUGGUCUGAUCUUUCCCCUUCUAUUUUACCUCAUCUAGUUCCAGAUUCUCAAAUCAUAUAGGGCCAGGAGGAGAGGACCAAAUUAUGUCUUAGUUACCUGGCUGCUGGUGGUUGUCUCUGUUUUUUGUAGAGCACAGGUGUAACGGCUUUCAGGGUGGGGGUGGGGAACUCUCCACUGAGUAGUGUGCUGAUGUGGGAGAUCUCUGGCUUGGCCUCUUCCGGCCCUCCUCCCACUCAGCUCCCACCAAUGAUGUAUCAAUAAAACCUCUUGCUGCUGGAGAUCUGCUUACCUGGUGGCCAGGGUGGCAAGACAAGUGAAGCCUGACUAUGCCUGCAGCAUCCACUGUGGAAACUACUACAUCUUUGCCAUGCCAAACACUUCUGCUUAAGCAUGCAGGUGAGAAGGGAAGAUACAUGUAAUCUGCAUGUCUGCCACCAUUCCUUGUUACCCUUUUUCAUAUCCCAUGAGCACAGCACUCCAGCGGACCUACCCAAAAUAUGUGGGAGUUCAGUGAAACUCAAACAGCAUGCUUCUGGUCAGCCUAUACAGUCUCUGUCCUGGUGAGGAGCAUGAUCACCAACAGGCAAGAUCUUCUGGCCUUGAAGUUUCGCUUGAGUUAAAAGAGCUCAUCUCAGGACUUUCUGAAUUUUCAGCCCAUAUGACAUGGAAGAAGAGUUAGAAGGGGAAUCUGACUGCUUGGAUCAGGGACUGUCUGGCUGGUGGAACUUGAAUGUAUACAACACUCUUCAUUUGCAUGUUUUGACAUUUUAAAAAAUGUUUUCACUUUCCUUAUCUACUUUGACUCUAAUAACAUCCUGAAAGGUGCUGUUGUCCUCUUUCUGGACCUUAGAGAUGUACAGUGCGCCACUCUGAGGAUCAAGUCUGACCCUGCCUUUAAAUUUGGAUUCAAAGUACUUAGAUUUUCUGGAAUCCCAUUCUACAAUCUUCUGGUCGAAAGUAUAAAACCAGUCUGCAGGUGUACCCAACAGCUCCGAAGAGACAGUGACAUCGAGAACGGGCCAUGAUGACGAUGGCGGUUUUGUCGAAAAGAAAAGGGGGAAAUGUGGGGAAAAGCAAGAGAGAUGAGAUUGUUACUGUGUCUGUAUAGAAAGAAGUAGACAUAGGAGACUCCAUUUUGUUCUGUACUAAGAAAAAUUCUUCUGCCUUGAGAUGCUGUUAAUCUAUGACCUUACCCCCAACCCCGUGCUCUCUGAAACAUGUGCUGUGUCAAACUCAGGGUUAAAUGGAUUAAGGGCGGUGCAAGAUGUGCUUUGUUAAACAGAUGCUUGAAGGCAGCAUGCUCAUUAAGAGUCAUCACCACUCCCUAAUCUCAAGUACCCAGGGACACAAACACUGCGAAAGACCGCAGGGACCUCUGCCUAGGAAAGCUAGGUAUUGUCCAAGGUUUCUCCCCAUGUGAUAGUCUGAAAUAUGGCCUCGUGGGAAGGGAAAGACCUGACCAUCCCCCAGACCAACACCCGUAAAGGGUCUGUGCUGAGGAGGAUUAGUAUAAGAGGAAAGCAUGCCUCUUGCAGUUGAGAGAAGAGGAAGACAUCUGUCUCCUGCCCAUCCCUGGGCAAUGGAAUGUCUCAGUAUAAAACCCGAUUGAACAUUCCAUCUACUGAGAUAGGGAAAAACUGCCUUAGGGCUGGAGGUGGGACAUGUGGGCAGCAAUACUGCUUUGUAAAGCAUUGAGAUGUUUAUGUGUAUGCAUAUCUAAAAGCACAGCACUUGAUCCUUUACCUUGUCUAUGAUGCAAAGACCUUUGUUCACGUG
rnacentral:lncRNA from 1 species